rnacentral:rRNA from 1 species
ACCAGGGUUUGACAUCCUGCGAAUCUCUUGGAAACGAGAGAGUGCCUUCGGGAGCGCAGUGACAGGUGGUGCAUGGCUGUCGUCAGCUCGUGUCGUGAGAUGUUGGGUUAAGUCCCGCAACGAGCGCAACCCACGUCUUUAGUUGCCAGCAUUGAGUUGGGCACUCUAGAGAGACCGCCGGUGAUAAACCGGAGGAAGGUGUGGAUGACGUCAAGUCAUCAUGCCCCUUACAUCCUGGGCUACACACGUACUAAAAUGCUACGGACAAAGGGCAGCAAACUCGCGAGAGCUAGCAAAUCCCAUAAACCGUGGCUCAGUUCAGAUCGUAGGCUGCAACUCGCCUACGUGAAGGAGGAAUCGCUAGUAAUCGCAGGUCAGCAUACUGCGGUGAAUACGUUCCCGGGCCUUGUACACACCGCCCGUCACACCAUGGAAGUUGGCCACGCCCGAAGUCGUUACUCCAACCCUUGUGGAGGAGGACGCCGAAGGUGGGGCUGAUGACUGGGGUGAAGUCGUAACAAGGUAGCCGUAA